rnacentral:ncRNA from 1 species
AGGAAAUUUGAGAAGGGCUGUCCUUAGUACGAGAGGACCGGGACGUCCUUAGUACGAGAGGACCGGGACGGACGAACCUCUGGUGUGUCAGUUGUACUGCCAAGUGCACCGCUGAUUAGCUACGUUCGGAAGGGAUAACCGCUGAAAGCAUCUAAGCGGGAAGCCCACUUCAAGAUGAGAUUUCCACGCCACCUUGUGUGGCGAGAGGCCCCCAGCCAGACCACUGGGUUGAUAGGCGGGAUGUGGAAGCGAGGACCAAAGACUCGUGAAGCUGACCCGUACUAAUAGGCCGACAACUUCAACCAC